GUGCCAGCCGCCGCGGUAAUACGAGGGGUGCAAACGUUAUUCGGAUUAACUGGGCGUAAAGGGUGCGUAGACGGUAUAUUAAGUUCGUUGUUAAAUCUUUCGGCCUAACCGGAAGCUCGCGAUGGAAACUGAUAUGCUUGAGGAUGGAAGAGAGAAGCGGAAUUCUCGGAGUAGCGGUAAAAUGCGUAGAUCUCGAGAGGAACACCGAUGGCGAAGGCAGCUUCUUGGUCCACUCCUGACGUUGAGGCACGAAAGCAUGGGUAGCAAACAGGAUUAGAUACCCUGGUAGUCCAUGCUGUAAACGAUGAUCACUGGAUGUCAGCUUCGCUCUGCGAAGUUGGUAUCGAAGCUAACGCGUUAAGUGAUCCGCCUGGGAAGUACGGUCGCAAGAUUAAAACUCAAAGGAAUUGACGGGGGUCCGCACAAGCGGUGGAACAUGUGGUUUAAUUCGACACUACGCGAGAAACCUUACCUGGACUUGACAUGCUUUUGACAGCUGUAGAAAUACAGUGUUCUAAGCUUCGGUUUAGACAGAUGCACAGGUGCUGCAUGGCUGUCGUCAGCUCGUGUCGUGAGAUGUUUGGUUAAGUCCUCUAACGAGCGCAACCCCUGCUGCUAGUUGCAACUAUCGUAAGAUAGGCACUCUAGUGGGACUGCCUGGGAAACCAGGAGGAAGGUGGGGAUGACGUCAAGUCAUCAUGGGUCCUUAUGUCCAGGGCUACACACGUGUUACAAAUGGCCGAUACAAAAAGGGUGCGAUACCGCCGAGGUGGAGCAAAUCCAUGAAAAUCGGUCUAAGUUCGGAUUGGAGUCUGCAAUUCGACUCCAUGAAGUUGAAAUCGCUAGUAAUCGUAUAUCAGCACGAUACGGUGAAUACGUUCUCGGACCUUGUACACACCGCCCGUCACACCACGAAAGUUGUUUGUACCCAAAGCUGUUUUAGUCAACCCGCAAGGGAGGCGGGCAGUUAAGGUAUGGGCAAUGAUUGGGGUGAAGUCGUAACAAGGUAACC
rnacentral:rRNA from 1 species